rnacentral:rRNA from 1 species
AUUGAACGCUGGCGGCAUGCCUUACACAUGCAAGUCGAACGGCAGCGGACCUUCGGGUGCCGGCGAGUGGCGGACGGGUGCGUAACGCGUAUGCAACAUGCCUUCCAGCGGGGGAUAUACCAGGGAAACUUGGCGCAAUACCCCAUAGAAUUACGGGACCGCAUGGUCUUGUGAUUAAAACUCCGGUGCUGGGAGAUUGGCAUGCGUGACAUUAGCUAGUUGGCGGGUAACGGCCCACCAAGGCGACGAUGUCUAGCUGGUCUGAGAGGAUGAUCAGCCACACUGGGACUGAGACACGGCCCAGACUCCUACGGGAGGCAGCAGUAGGGAAUAUUGGACAAUGGGGGGAACCCUGAUCCAGCCAUGCCGCGUGAGGGAAGAAGGUCCUCUGGAUUGUAAACCUCUUUUGGCAGGAAACAAACCUGCGCUAUACGCGCAGCUGAGGGUACCUGCAGAAUAAGCACCGGCUAACUCCGUGCCAG